GGUGAAUAUAGUUCAAUGGUAGAGCGACUGUAUGUGGCACAGUAAGUUCCCUGUUCGACCCAGGGUAUUCACCC
rnacentral:tRNA from 1 species